rnacentral:rRNA from 1 species
GGACAAUGGGNGCAAGCCUGAUCCAGCCAUGCCGCGUGUGUGAAGAAGGCCUUCGGGUUGUAAAGCACUUUUAGCUGGGAGGAAGGGCUUUAGAUUAAUACUCUUGNGCUAUUGACGUUACCNGCAGAAUAAGCACCGGCUAACUCNGUGCCAGCAGCCGCGGUAAUACGGAGGGUGCAAGCGUUAAUCGGAAUUACUGGGCGUAAAGCGCGCGUAGGCGGUUUGUUAAGUUGGAUGUGAAAUCCCCGGGCUCAACCUGGGAACUGCAUUCGANACUGGCAAGCUAGAGUNUGGUAGAGGGGGGUGGAAUUCCAGGUGUAGCGGUGAAAUGCGUAGAGAUCNGGAGGAACACCGGUGGCGAAGGCGGCCCCCUGGGCUGAUACUGACGCUGAGGUGCGAAAGCGUGGG